CCAGAUGGUACUUAUAGACAGAAGGACAGGCUGAUAGACACACAGACAGGCAGGCAGAUAGACAAAAAGGCAGAGAAACUAGUCCAUCUCUUAGUCCUUCUGUAUGUCUGUCGAUCCACCUAUCUGUGUCUCUCAGUCUGUUUUUCUCUCAUUCUCUCUCUAUAUCAAUCUAUUGAUCUAGCUGUAUCUAUCUAUCUUUAUUGCUAUCUGUCUAUCCCUGUCUACCUGUCUAUCCAUCUGCCUGAAUUUCUGUGUCUCUCUCAGUUUGUCUGUCUCACCAUUCCAUCUUCCCUUGAUCUAUCCUUCCAUCUAGCUGUCUCUGUCUGUCCCUUUGUAUCACUCUCAGAUAUUCUGAUGUUUUUUAAUCUUUCAAUGUCUCUGUCAUUCUGUCUGUGUUUCUAUGUCUUUUCGUUCUUCCUAUCUAUUUAUCUCUCUAUCUGUCUUUCUCUCCCCCUGUCUAUCUCUCUGUCUGUGUCUGACUAUGUGUCUCUCUAUGUGCUAUCUCUAUAUCCGUCUAUCUGCCCUGCUACCUAUCUGACUACCCACCUGCCAGUCGGCCUGCCUAUCUGUCUUUCUGUUUGUCUGUCUCUACCCCUCUGGAUUCUCACGGGAUCAGGGAACAAGUACAAACUUUGGGGUCUCCAAACUACAAGCUCCUCCGGAAACCCAGGCAACACCAGAUACUUCUAGGCCACAAGUUUAGGGUUUCUUGAUUCCAGGUUGACAAUAGGGAAACCGGGAAUGCCAUUGACCUUUGAUGAAGCUCUCUGUCUGUCAGUCCUCCUGUCUGUCGGUCCCCUUGGCCAUCUCUCAGUCUAUAUGGAUAUAGAGCUAGAGAUAGAAUGUGUUUUGUAGCCUUGUGCCCUGAGGAACUGCACACUGCAGUGUUCUCCAGCAGUCCCUCCAUCUCAUUUCCUGGGAGGGAUUGGUCUUGAAUUGGACCGAGGCAGGGAUAGGGAUAUUCCUCGCUACUGUUGUGUGUGAUUGGCUUAUAAAUGGAUCAAUCCUGGGCUCAGGAGAGGCCAUUCGCUUUGUCCCUCUCCUAACUCAGGAUUGGUCGAAUUUGGGAGCCCUCCCAAGGCAGGACUCAAAGGGGUGGGACUCCUGGAGCACACUGGGGGUUGUAGUUCCCCAGGCGGUCACAACAUUUGAAAACCCUCAAAAGAUAGACGGACAGACCGAUAAAUGCACCAACCAACAAGCAGAUAGACAGAAUAUCAUAGCAACUAAUCUGUCUGUCAGUCCUUCUGUCUGUCCAGUUGUCCAUCUCUCCGUUUUCAUAGAUACAUAGAGAUAGUAUGGCUUUUCAAGUGUUGUGGCUUGGAGGACUGCAUCUCCCAGCAUGCUCCAGGGGUCCUUACUCCUUAUUUCCGGGGAGGGAUUUGUCUUGAAUUGGACCACUUCUAUGCUAGUCGAGGGAAUGAUGCCCAGUAUUUCCUUUAUUGGGAUUGGACUUGAAAAGUAUUAAUUCCGUGCUAAGGAGGGGUCGUGGCCAUUGUCCCUCCUCUAUCUCGGGAUUGGUCCAAUUGAAGAACAAUCACAAGCCAGGACUCAAAUGGGUGGUCCUGCUGGUGCACACUGGGGGUUGUAGUUUGCCACGCUUCAACACCUUAAAACCCACAAAAGUCCGACACACAGGCUGAGACAUGCACAAACAGGCAGGCUGAUAGAUACUGUCAACGUGGGAUUU
ensembl:lncRNA